GACGAACGCUGGCGGCGUGCUUAACACAUGCAAGUCGAACGAUGAACCCGGAGCUUGCUCCGGUGGAUUAGUGGCGAACGGGUGAGUAACACGUGAGUAACCUGCCCUUGACUCUGGGAUAACUGCGGGAAACUGUAGCUAAUACCGGAUACGACCCUCGGCGGCACUGCCAGGGGGUGGAAAGAAUUUUGGUCAAGGAGGGAGUCGCGGCCUAUCAGCUAGUUGGUGAGGUAACGGCUCACCAAGGCGACGACGGGUAGCCGGCCUGAGAGGGGGACCGGCCACACUGGGAAUGAGACACGGCCCAGACUCCUACGGGAGGUAGCAGUGGGGAAUAUUGCACAAUGGGCGCAAGCCUGAUGCAGCAACGCCGCGUGAGGGAUGACGGCCUUCGGGUUGUAAACCUCUUUUAGUAGGGAAGAAGCGAAAGUGACGGUACCCGCAGAAAAAGCACCGGCUAACUACGUGCCAGCCGCCGCCGUAA
rnacentral:rRNA from 1 species